AUAGCGGAGGAAAAGAAACUAACAAGGAUUCCCCUAGUAGCGGCGAGCGAAGCGGGAAGAGCUCAAAUUUAUAAUCUGGCACCUUCGGUGUCCGAGUUGUAAUCUCUAGAAAUGUUUUCCGCGUUGGACCGCACACAAGUCUGUUGGAAUACAGCGGCAUAGUGGUGAGACCCCCGUAUAUGGUGCGGACGCCCAGCGCUUUGUGAUACAUUUUCGAAGAGUCGAGUUGUUUGGGAAUGCAGCUCAAAUUGGGUGGUAAAUUCCAUCUAAAGCUAAAUAUUGGCGAGAGACCGAUAGCGAACAAGUACCGUGAGGGAAAGAUGAAAAGCACUUUGGAAAGAGAGUUAACAGUACGUAAAAUUGUUGGAAGGGAAACGCUUGAAGUCAGACUUGCUUGCCGAGCAAUCGGUUUGCAGGCCAGCAUCAGUUUUCCGGGAUGGAUAAUGGUAGAGAGAAGGUAGCAGUUUCGGCUGUGUUAUAGCUCUCUGCUGGAUACAUCUUGGGGGACUGAGGAACGCAGUGUGCCUUUGGCGGGGGUUUCGACCUCUUCACACUUAGGAUGCUGGUGGAAUGGCUUUAAACGACCCGUCUUGAACCACGGGACCAAAA
rnacentral:rRNA from 1 species